GGCUGUUUUGGUAAUAUUAUUUUGGUGUGGCUCGGUACUACAACAUCGCAUAUUGUGUUAUUGUGCUUUUGUCAUUUUUGUAUGCAUGUCUUUAACAUGUUUAACUUUUGAUUAUCGUCGCUGGGCUUCUAAAAUGUCGAAUAUGACUUUUUUGGCGAAAAAUACUUUUUGACACCAAUGGUCUGGGCGGGAGGAAAUCUUUGGUAUUACAAAAUAGCAUACAAUUAGAC
rnacentral:lncRNA from 1 species